rnacentral:rRNA from 1 species
AACGAACGCUGGCGGCAUGCCUAACACAUGCAAGUCGAACGAGACCUUCGGGUCUAGUGGCGCACGGGUGCGUAACGCGUGGGAACCUGCCCUUAGGUUCGGAAUAACUCCCCGAAAGGGGUGCUAAUACCGGAUAAUGUCUUCGGACCAAAGAUUUAUCGCCUUUGGAUGGGCCCGCGUUGGAUUAGCUAGUUGGUAGGGUAAAAGCCUACCAAGGCGACGAUCCAUAGCUGGUCUGAGAGGAUGAUCAGCCACACUGGGACUGAGACACGGCCCAGACUCCUACGGGAGGAAGCAGUGGGGAAUAUUGGAAAAUGGGCGAAAGCCUGAUCCAGCAAUGCCGCGGGAGUGAUGAAGGCCUUAGGGUUGUAAAGCUCUUUUACCCGGGAUGAUAAUGACAGUACCGGGAGAAUAAGCUCCGGCUAACUCCGUG